UGCUAUCAACAUGUAAAUUAAAUUUAAUUGUUGACUGCUGGCUUGAUUGUGUUAACCUAGAAAUUAACAUUUCAAAAACAUAACUAAAAAAUACAUGGUAGUCUAUUAUUUCUUCCUUGUUGUUAACAAUAAACGUUCUCGAACAGCUUUUAAAUCGUUCAAUUUCAACAAGUCUGCUCUCAGCUGAUUCCAUCCGUCUACGUUUAGUGAUUGUAUUUCUUUUCAUUAUGUAACUGUAACGUAUUACGAAUAUACUUUCUGUUAUAUCAAAUUACAUUAUAUUAUUUAAAACUUUAUAAUAAUAUACAAUAUACAUUAAUGUCAAUGAUAAAUUAAUACAUAUUAAUAGUUAAGUUUGCGAUAUUAGUAGCUAAGUUUUAGAUUAGUUUUAGUCUAUAUUCAAAGAUUCUAAUUUUCUGUGCAGUGAAUUUAAAGAAUUGCGUAUACAUAAUCUACAUUUAUAAAUUAUAUAUUGUGAUUGUUCAUAUUCAAGUUUAAGUUGUUUUUUUUUCAUAUUUAAAUUUUUAAAUUUUUUGGAUAAUUAUUCUUAUUUUUUCAUCGUGUACCUAUCUUUUCUUCUUCUUCUUCUGAAGCGUCAAAAUUUGAUUCAAGUUUUUCAUAAUUUUCUUCAAUUUGCUGUUUGAUGAACAUAUAAAUAUAAUAUUACAACAGAAAAAAUUCGUAUGUAAUUCAACGACAAAUCACAGCUAGCGAACGUGAUCGGAUUCGGAUUAUACGAGCGCCGUGUCGAGUCAUAAUAAUGAUGGAAAGAAGCUGAGUGCUGUGUAAAAAUAUCAAUAACUGAUUUACCAAAGGAUCAAGGGCUCACAAACGAUUUAUCAAACAUCAUACAAACAAUAUUUACACGGUUCAUGUCCAAUCCAAAAAAGAAAAUAAGAUGUAUUAAAAAAUCAAAAUCAUAAUAAAUCUGUUUGUAA